rnacentral:rRNA from 1 species
GGCGGAUCAUCCGGUGUUCUCACCGGUGCACUUCGUCUGGUUGAGGCCAGCAUCGGUUUUCGUAGAGGGAUAAAAGCAGUAGGAAUGUGGUUCCUCCGGGAAUGUUAUAGCCUAUUGUAUAAUACCUCUAUGGGGACCGAGGUUCGCGCUCUGCAAGGAUGCUGGCGUAAUGGUCAUCAACGACCCGUCUUGAAACACGGACCAAGGAGUCGAACAUUUGUGCGAGUGUUUGGGUGUUAAACCCUCACGCGUAAUGAAAGUGAACGGAGGUGAGAGCCCUUACGGGUGCAUCAUCGACCGAUCCUGAUGUUUUCGGAUGGAUUUGAGUAAGAGCAUAACUGUUCGGACCCGAAAGAUGGUGAACUAUGCGUGGAUAGGGUGAAGCCAGAGGAAACUCUGGUGGAGGCUCGCAGCGGUUCUGACGUGCAAAUCGAUCGUCAAAUCUGCGCAUGGGGCGAAAGACUAAUCGA